CAAAGUGCUGGGAUUACAGGCUUGAGCCGCCGCGCCCAGCAGACAAAUGACUUUUUAAAAUUAAGUUUUAAAUUUACAAUUGAUGCAUAAUUUUACUUUAAAAAAAUAAGUGUGCAAUUUGGUAAACUUUGACAUAUACAGCUGUAAACCACUCCAAUCAAGAUAACAUAUUUACCACACCCAAAAGUUUCCAUGUGCUCUAUUAUAAUCCCUCUGGCUAGUCCUCUGUCAAUCACUGAUAAAUUUUAUUACUAUAGAUUAGCUUGCAUUUUCUAAAAUUAUAUAAAAAUGAAAUCAUGCCAUUUGUGCUUUUUCUCUGUCUUUUCUCAAAAUUCUUUCACUCAAAAUUACAUACUCUGUAUGUCUUCUUUCACUCAAAAUUACUUCUUUCAUUUUUAGACAGAAGCAAUCAGACCUCAAAAUUACUUGGAGAUUCAUCUGGUGUGUGCAUUAGUAAUUCAUAAUUCAUUCCUUUUUUAUUGCUGAGUAGUACACAAUUUGUUUAUCCAUUUACCUGCUGUUGGAGAUUUGGGCUAUUUCCAGAUUUUGGCUGUUGCAAAAAAGCAACCUCACAGAUCCUUUUAAAGGUGCUUUCAGGUAACCCUAGUGACUAUGGUACCACUGCUCUCUAUCCUAGCAGGCACACUGAAAUAGUUAAACCUUGCAAUAGUGUGAAAUCAUUUUCUUUUUAAACAAUGUAUUUCCUUAUUUUUACAUAUUUUACUCUAGUCUCAUGACAGAUUACAUUUUCUUUUUUAAAUAGAAAGUCUUACUGUAAAGCCCCCAUCUGUAUAAAAAAAUGAAAGAUCUGGUUGAUGUGGAUGUGUGGAACCCAGGAACCCUCUCUUGGAUUUUCUCUUACUCCCCAAAAAACUUCCUUUCCUCCAAAGAGCUGCUCAGAAGUUUGAAAACCAGUGGACAAGCCAUCCUAACUGUCUUGAUGCUACAGAAGCAAAGACGCCGUACAGAGAUGUAGCAUUCCUGUAACAGGUAAGCUGUUUCAAAGCCUUCCAGGACAACUUUUGCACAGUCACGUUUAUCUUUAAGCACCAACAAAAGAAAUGGAGAAAUUUGAGCCGUGUGUCCUGGGCUCUGAAAGGCAGCAAUCAUCUUAGCCCCUAGCAUACGCCAUGUUCAGCUUCCUCGCCUUGGGCAGGUACCACAGCUACUUCUACUCCAGUGAUCAGCAGGCCCUCCAGCAUGAAGACCUUUGAGAAGGACCUGAGACUACUAUAGCUCUCAGCUCCUAAUAUGAUUUGUACACUAUCACCUUGAAGUAAAUCAGACUAGUUAUUUUCAUGCUAAGUUUGAAAACAGUGCCUUCUUUUUGAUGCCUCUUGUAGGGUAUUGGCAGAGGGAUCUCAAUUUUUACUUUAUACCUGAAGGGCAGCUUUUUGGUCUGAUAAUUAUAGUGUAAUCAUUCAUAUUUUAAAUCACAAAUACCCCCACCUCUUGAUGCAAACUUCAGUCUGUGGCGUGAGUGUACAUUCACUGCCUAAACCACCUUUGGCCAAAAUUUAUGUGUAUAUGAAGUCAUUCUACUUUAGCACACUCAAAGGAAUUCCUUUAAACCAUUUAUCUGCUUGUACACAAUAGCCAAAGGAAUAGUCCUUUCUAUGGCUGAUGUAAUAAACUAUCACAAAUUUA